rnacentral:rRNA from 1 species
AGAGUUUGAUUCUGGCUCAGGAUGAACGCUAGCGACAGGCCUAACACAUGCAAGUCGAGGGGCAGCACAAGGAGCAAUCUGAGGUGGCGACCGGCGCACGGGUGAGUAACACGUAUGCAACCUGCCUGUAAAGCGGGGAAUAACCCGUUGAAAGACGGACUAAUACCGCAUAAUACUAAAUUACUGCAUGGUAAUUUAUUUAAACAUUUAUGGCUUACAGAUGGGCAUGCGCAUGAUUAGCUAGUUGGAGAGGUAACGGCUCCCCAAGGCAACGAUCAUUAGGGGUUCUGAGAGGAAGGUCCCCCACACUGGUACUGAGACACGGACCAGACUCCUACGGGAGGCAGCAGUGAGGAAUAUUGGUCAAUGGACGCAAGUCUGAACCAGCCCAAGUCGCGUGAAGGAAGAAUGUCCUAUGGAUUGUAAACUUCUUUUGAAGGGGAAUAAAGUACGGUACGUGUACCGUUUUGUAUGUACCCUUCGAAUAAGGAUCGGCUAACUCCGUGCCAGCCGCGGC